CCAUCAGACCGGGGCCCACGAGGGUUGUGUGCCUGUUAUCCAGGGCCAGAACACUUGGGCAGAGGAGUCUAUUUCAUUUAUUGCUACAGCCUCUAAAUCUCUCAAGAUGUGGUCAGGGAGGUGGUGUGUGUGGCGUGGAGAGAACAGCUGUCUCCUUUCUCUAAUGUCCGAGGACCCCCUACAGGAUCAUCUGACCAGCCUUUGAACCACAGCCCAUGUGCUUGACUUGCAGGGUGUUGUUUCUGUAGACCACUGGCUGCAAAUUUGGCUGUGUAUUAGGCUCACCUGAGGAGGUUAAAAAACACCAGUGCCUGGAUCCCACUCCCAUAGAUUCUAUUUCAAUCGAUCUGAGGAGUGGCCUGGACAUCAAAAAAUUUUUUUAAGCUCUUCACAGGAUUCUGAUGUGCAGCCCAGUUUGAGAUCGUACCACCAGAUUGCUUCCAUCCUCCCCUGGUCAGAUCAUGACUGUGGCUUGAACCGUCUAGCUGCUUCUGUUUAUCUCCCUAAUGAUACUUCCUAUGGAUCUCCUCCAUCUGGGCUCGGAGGGAGGUGACAGGAGGGUCCUCGACCCUGUUUCACAGAUUGCCCUUUGACUCCGGAAAGGUGCUCACUCCUUUGAGAAGAGUUUGUAAGCCAUUAGCCUUUGGGGGCCUAAGUCACCCUUCGUGUGUCAGAGCAGAGUUACUGACUGCUUUCUGAAGAGAGCCUGCCUGUACUUUGUUCCGCUUUCCUGUGGCUAACCAGCUUCAUUUUCAAGAUGUGUCACAACCCUUGCCUCUUAGUUAACUGUAAAGCAAAAAAUAUUCCCCUGAUUGGCUGUGUAUUAGGCUAACUGAAUUUGAGUUUCUUGCAGAUUUUCACAUCAGAUUAACAAAUUUUCAGUGAUCAAAAGCUUAGUUCUAAAAUACAACAUUCCUGGAGGUAGCCUCAAAUCUAUCUCUAGUUCUCCAGCAUGCCUUUUUGAAUUUGUGGUGUGUGAGGUUGGGGGCUGCUGACCACUAUUUUCAAGGCUGCAGAUGAGAGCGACUUCUCUUUGAUGAUUUUCAAGAAAGCCGUGCUGUGAAGUGGCAAAGUCUUCAGGAAGCAAGAUGCCAUUGCCUCUGGGGAAACUGGUCCUUCUUUCCAGUGUGGUGGCCAGUGGGAGCUGCACCCUUAUAUAUUACCUUAUACGAAACUGCCUUUCUUUGAAGAUCCUUUAUGCCCACCCAGCCUGGCUUCUCACCCUGACUCUGCACCAUUUUCACUUCCUGCCAGGACCUAUCACCAGCAGACAGGCAGAGAGCGCUCAGUGUCCUGUGCAUCCCUUCUCCCCCGCCUUCCUUCAGCCUUGGCCCAGGGCUCUCUGAGUCUUGAGGUGGCCUGAGGCGAGCACAGCCAGGGGUAAUUCAGACUGGAAUAGCUCAGCCUCCUCUCCCCUCUGCCAAAGGGGUGGGAGCAGGACACAACAGGAAUGGGUACAUUUUAUGGGUCAGGAGACCGAGGUCUUUCCUCCUCAGUAGGCCGGGCUCGUCCAGGAGAGAUAGCCCAGCUGGCAUCUAUAGCCAACCGCCUGAGUUGAAUGCCAGAGCCAGCUCUGCGCUGGCUGUGUAGCCUUGUGGGAGGAUCUCUCACCUCCAUUAUCUGUGUGAUGAGGGGCAACACUAGUGCCUGUGCAUGAGGUUGUUGUAAAAUUAAAUAAAUUGUAAGACAUAGGAGAUACUGAGAACGGUGUCUCGCCAUGGAAAUCUGGACCUGACCUGUGCUCCUCCUUUUCCUGUCUUGGCUGGCACCAUGCUCAUACUUCCCAGUCCUGGGAAGUAGCCCAGGGUGAGCAUCCUCCCUGGCCUCUCCUGUCUCAGGCCAUCCUCCCCUUUCAUACUGGGAUGGGGCCUACAGGAGGGAAGCUCUUUCUUGUUGCCAAACUGAAACCCCUACUUGGGAAGCCUACCUUUGCUCUCUCCCGAAGGCAGCUCGUCUACCUUAUACCUUCAGGGAGGAACUUCCUGGGGCUUCUGGUAGCCUUUGGCCCAAGAAAUGUACCUGAGACUGAGAGUAGCUUAUAAGCAGCUUUACCUACAUGAAAUGUUGCCUUAAAUCUAUAAACUUGACAAACCAGCAUUUUCACGUUCUGUUUCUUGGCCCAAAGGUUUUGUUGCUGUUGAUGUUGGGGGAUAUUUUAUGCUGGUUUAUUGGGGCCUUCAUCCUAGUGAAAGGAGCAAUGUUUAGAAGUCCAGAGUCAUAGAUUUUGGCCCCAGCUCUACCAUGGACGAGCCAUGUCACUUUGAGCAAGUCAUGGAAUCACAGGACUUUAGAACUGAAAGGAAAGCCAGAAAGGAUCUGGGCAAACCCCUUAGAUGAAGAAACGAGGCAACGAAUAAGGUGGGAAAUGAGAGAUGAAGGAAUUGAGGUACGGAAAGAAUCAAGUACCUUGCUCAAGGUCAUCUGCCACGUUCCCGCAGAUACUGACUGUUAGGGUCAGGUGUAAGGCAGGGUAAAGAUAGGAGUGAGAGGCUAAAAAAUUUAGCAAAGGCUUUAUUUGGGAACUAAGGUCUCGGGCGAGGUUCUGUGACUCAGGGAGAGAGAGAGAGGAGUCAGGGAAGUCGCGCCCAGGUAUGGUGGGGUAGGGUUUUUAAGCUGCGGCAGUUCUGGGUUUAGGCUCGGGUGGGUCUUUCUCUUGUGCCAGGUUGUGAUGGCGCUCGGUGAUUGGUUGACCUUCAGUUUGUUCCAGUACGCUGCUCAGGGCUUCAGUUUGUUCGGGCGUGCUGGCAAGAGGGCCAUCCCCUUCCAGGGACAUCCUAACAUUCCAACCUCUUAUUGGUGAUAAUGGGCGAGGGAUCUGAUCUGGCUGCUUCCUGCGGGUGUAAGGGUGAUGCCAUAGUAUGUGGGGUCUGAGGUUGGAAUGCAGGAAUAGGGCCGGACCACCAUCCGAUGAAAUGCGACCUGGGAAACUUCAUGAAUUCGUUUCCAUAUGAAACGGAGAAAACAAGGUAAGAGCAUAAGUAUUAUACAGAUAGAAACUAGUGGGGUGACUAUGGGGAGGAGCCAAGUUAGGUGGGGUGAUUGCCACCAGGAGGUUAGGGGGUCUGAGGAUCCUGGGUGGGCAGGUAGAGUUUUUUGGAUUUCCUUUAGGUGUUCUAUAUUGGUUUCAACUAAGCCUGACUCAUUGAGGUAGUAGCAACAUUCUUCCCUCAGGAACAGGCAUGUUCCCCCUUUUUCUGCUGUCAGGAGAUCUAGGGCUCGUUGGUUUGGUUUUGUAGAGUGACCUGUGCUAGGGAGUUGAUCUGCCUUUGUAAGUCAGAUAGGGAGGUUGAUGAGGCUUCUAUUGUGAUCUGGAGCCUGUCUGACAGGUCCCUGGAGGAGGUAAUGGAUGGAGUGUGUGAGGGAGCCGGUCCCAACCCUGGCGGCCAAUAGGGACGUGGCUAGCGAGAGACCAUUAGUGGGAGGAAAACGACUCGUUUUUGGAGACGGAAUUCGAGGAGUUGAUGGAGUUCUUCCUGUCCGUAUAGGAAGCUUUUUCCAGGGCUUCUUAUUACCAGCUCGCAUUGGAGCAGCUGCACAGCUACCCCGAGGCCCUGGCGGCUCUGGGCCCUCCGCUUUUGUCCAUUAGCUCCACCUCACCGACAAGUACAGCUUCGUGGACAUUGCCGAUGCCCAGUGGUUUUUUGAAUAUGGUUGUAAGUACUCAGAGCCCUGAGUUUGCACAUAAGGUCUCUGCCAGAUAGGAGGACUGCCACUGACCUCACCAAACCAUCCAAAGAGGGCCAGGACAUUUGGAGGGAGCCAGAUGGAAAAUCAGUUGAAGAUUCCAGUCUCUGGAACCAAGUUAGAGGGCCAUAACUAUGUCAGCUCAUCCAGAGAUGCCCCCUUUCAGAGGUAUUAUGGGAAGGUGGCACCUUCAGAAGGUCUUAAAGCUCAAGGGUGGUCAGCAGAUUCCCGUGUUUAAGCUCAGCAGGGACACUGGUGAUGAAGGAGGACAGGUGAUCAAAACGACUCUGCUUUCUCCAAGAGUGGCCUCCCCUCCUCACCGGGUCCCUCCAGGGCCUUGAGCCGGGUGUCCAGCACCAGGGGUGACUGUACAUGCUGGCAUGUGGUAAUUUUGGUAUAAUGUUAAUUUGACCACGGUUAUUGCAGGUUUUUAAUUUAAUAAAAAAUGGACAUUUUA